UCCGUGUCCCGCACCAAGUCUGCUUAGCUCA
rnacentral:piRNA from 1 species